rnacentral:rRNA from 1 species
GACGAACGCUGGCGGCGUGCUUAACACAUGCAAGUCGAACGGAGUGGCGAACGGGUGAGUAACACGUGGGUGACCUGCCCUGCACUUCGGGAUAAGCCUGGGGAACUGGGUCUAAUACCGGAUAGUGUGGGAUGGGCCCGCGGCCUAUCAGCUUGUUGGUGGGGUAAUGGCCUACCAAGGCGGCGACGGGUAGCGGGCCUGAGAGGGGGGACGGCCAGAUUGGGAGUGGGAGAAGGGCCAGAGCACUACGGGAGGCAGCAGUGGGGAAUAAUGCACAAUGGGGGGAAGCCUGAUGCAGGGACGCCGAGUGGGGGAUGACGGCCUUCGGGUUGUAAGCUCCUUUCACCAUCGACGCGGUAGAUGGAGAAGAAGCACCGGCUAACUACGUGCCAGCCGCCGCGGUAAUAC